rnacentral:misc_RNA from 1 species
CUCCCCGGGAACCUGGUGCCCUCCUCCCCGGGAACCUGGUGCCCUCCUCCCCGGGAACCUGGUGCCCUCCUCCCCGGGAACCUGGUGCCCUCCUCCCCCUUACUCCAAUCCCAAUGCAUGGAUAGAGGCUUAACGGUGUUUGUGGCAGUUCAUGUCCCGGAUGUGUUACUAAAUGGGUGGCGCUGGAGGCUUGGGGCGAUACCACCACUCGUUUGUGUGUUGGCGAUUAGUGUUGUCCCCCCAAGUGGCCAGCGUGGCCCCGUACCAUUCAGGACACGAGUUGCAACGGGCGCGCACUGAAGCUAGCGUGCCCUCCCGAGGAGUGUCAGUAAAAUAAAAUACAAAAACACAAUCACGGUUGCACCAAGCACAACAUCAAACACAUACAAUGCUGAAGAGCAGGCGUAUCGAGGGCAUACCCGUGGCUCAUAACACAGUCACAGUUCAGAAGGCCGGCACGCGGUGUCAACCAGGCCACCAUUCCUCUCCGCAUUAAAGCACUCGGUGGGGGAGGGUGCCCUGGUUGACACAAUGUGCCGCGCAUCAACCAGCGCGACGGAAGUUGGCCUCCAGCAAAGCACAUUUUGCACGCAAAUGGUGUCCGCUCUCCCAAACCACACGAAUGGCACCAUGGCAAAAAACACUCCCCCACAAUGUAUUGACCUUGUUUGUUAAUGAAAGUGUGGCACUGACUUCGGCAGACGCCAAGUGGUGGAUAUAGAACCACCUUUCAUGGCAGUACAUUGCAGCAUGUGCCACAUGUUCAAAAGCAAUAAACAGAUUAAAAGAA